GCUGGGCAUGGUGGCACAUGCCUGUAAUCCCAGCAGUUUGGGAGGCUGAGGCAGGAGGAUUACAAGUUCAAACUCAGCCUCAG
rnacentral:sRNA from 1 species